rnacentral:rRNA from 1 species
UUUCCACGUGAAUUGUUUUGCUGUACCUUUGGGCUUCGCCGUUGUCUUGUUCUUUUGUAAGAGAAAGGGGGAGGCGCGGUUGGAGGCCAUCAGGGGUGCGUUCGUCGCGGUUUCUUUCGUUUGUGGAAACUGGCCCCCGAAGCCUCCCUUUUGGCCACCCCAUUUUUUGAAUGAAAAACUGAUCAUACUGUGGGGACGAAAGUCUCUGCUUUUAACUAGAUAGCAACUUUCAGCAGUGGAUGUCUAGGCUCGCACAUCGAUGAAGAACGCUGCGAACUGCGAUACGUAAUGCGAAUUGCAGGAUUCAGUGAGUCAUCGAAAUUUUGAACGCAUAUUGCACUUUCGGGUUCUGCCUGGAAGUAUGUCUGUAUCAGUGUCCGUACACUAAACUUGCCUUUCUUGCGUCGUGUAGUCGUCGCUGGGAAUGCGCAGAUGUGAGGUUUUGUCUUGCUCUGGCUCGAAUUCGUUGGGCAGGAGCAAGUCCCUUUAAAGUCGGACGUGUUUUCUCUCUGCGGUGUGCUGUGUCGGCGCUGGCGGCGCGUGGGACUCUCUUGUCUGUUGACGAGUCUGGCGACCUUUGGCUCGUGCAUUGCGGGGUGUGCUCGAUUGGCGGUAUGUUAGGCUUCGGCUUUGACAAUGCAGCUUAUUGG